GACGAACGCUGGCGGCGUGCUUAACACAUGCAAGUCGAACGGAAAGGCCCUGCUUUGGUGGGGUGCUCGAGUGGCGAACGGGUGAGUAACACGUGAGUAACCUGCCCUUGACUUUGGGAUAACUUCAGGAAACUGGGGCUAAUACCGGAUAGGAGCUCCGGCUGCAUGGUGGGGGUGGGAAAGUUUCGGCGGUUGGGGAUGGACUCGCGGCUUAUCAGCUUGUUGGUGGGGUAGUGGCUUACCAAGGCUUUGACGGGUAGCCGGCCUGAGAGGGUGACCGGCCACAUUGGGACUGAGAUACGGCCCAGACUCCUACGGGAGGCAGCAGUGGGGAAUAUUGCACAAUGGGCGGAAGCCUGAUGCAGCAACGCCGCGUGCGGGAUGACGGCCUUCGGGUUGUAAACCGCUUUCGCCUGUGACGAAGCGUGAGUGACGGUAAUGGGUAAAGAAGCACCGGCUAACUACGUG
rnacentral:rRNA from 1 species